rnacentral:lncRNA from 1 species
AUACCAAGGGAACAUUUCAUGCAAAGAUGGGCUCGAUAAAGGACUGAAAUCGUAUAGACCUAACAGAAGCAGAAGAUAUUAAGAAGAGGUGGCAGGGGUUCUUAAUCUACUGCUAAAAGAAAGUAGGCUUGGGAUGAGUAAAAAACAGUUUAUUGGUAGAAGUUCUCCUGAGUAGCCAGUAUAACAGAAGUGGCUCAAGAGAACAGUAGGCUGGGAGGUCAGAUCAGUGAUACAGCCAGAGAGCAACAUUAGAAGAAAGGAGAAUGUCUAGAGAACAGAGAAAACACACACGUACAAGGACGAUACAGCAUAAACUGUACUGCCACAAGCUCUUCUGCUAAGAGAAGGAACAAAACGGUGGCAUGGGAACUUGGUCGCUCUAUCUCUACACGUUACAACCAACUGCUUUCAGAGACCACUUAGAGGACAAUAAAUGUUUCUGAUGGUGGAGGUAGGAACAAAGAUAAAGCCACACUUAAAAUCUGAAGUUACUGUUUAAGCAAGGAGACAUGGUCAAAGUGAGUUCCCACUCUAAUGAAGUUAGGACAACCUCCAAAAUGCCCAGGUGACAUUCUUAUUUAAGGCCCUAUAUUUUUAUGAUAUUAAUUUGUUUAAUACAGAGAAGCGAAAAAAGGGAGAGUUGUGUAAUUCAGUCAGAAAAAUUACACAAGAUAACUUUAUUUCCAUGGAUUUCUGAAAUCAAAUGCUUUAAGAAAAUCUCUACCUUAAUCAAUUUACCCCCACUAUAUAAUGUAUACUAUUAAACCAACCAAAUUGACACAGUAAUUGCUCUGGAAAGACAAGAAUGGAUUGUAAGGGUGAAUUAUUUUAUAAAAUAUAACAGAUUGCAACCAAUUAGUUAACAAGAAGAAGAAAAACUAAAGAGCCUGACCCUUUAUAACAAUUUAUAGAACUCUGUUUAACUUAAUAAGAAAAAUCUGCUUUGGAUAAGGCAUUGCUUAAUCACUUCAUCACUUCAUCACUUCUUAGAGAUUAAGGCACAAAAUCACCAGCAUUACAAACAAACGUGUAAGAAAAUCUGAAGACAGCAGCUGGUACA